rnacentral:sRNA from 1 species
GCGGAGGAAAAGAAACCAACAGGGAUUGCCUCAGUAACGGCGAGUGAAGCGGCAACAGCUCAAAUUUGAAAUCUGGCUCUUUCAGGGUCCGAGUUGUAAUUUGUAGAGGGUGCUUUGGUGUUGGCCGUGGUCUAAGUUCCUUGGAACAGGACGUCACAGAGGGUGAGAAUCCCGUACGUGGCCGCCGGUCUUCACCGUGUAAAGCCCCUUCGACGAGUCGAGUUGUUUGGGAAUGCAGCUCUAAAUGGGAGAUAAAUUUCUUCUAAAGCUAAAUAUUGGCCAGAGACCGAUAGCGCACAAGUAGAGUGAUCGAAAGAUGAAAAGCACUUUGGAAAGAGAGUCAAAAAGCACGUGAAAUUGUUGAAAGGGAAGCGCUUGCAGCCAGACGUGCCCGCAGUUGCUCACCUGGGCUCUCGCCCGGGGCAUUCUUCUGCGGGCAGGCCAGCAUCAGUUCGGGCGGUUGGAUAAAGGCCUCUAUCACGUAUCUUCCUUCGGGAUGACCUUAUAGGGGAGGCGCAACACGGCCAGCCUGAACUGAGGACCGCGCAUCAGCUAGGAUGCUGGCGUAAUGGCUGUAAGCGGCCCGUCUUGAAACACGGACCAAGGAGUCUAACAUCUAUGCGAGUGUUUGGGUGUCAAGCCCGGGCGCGCAAUGAAAGUGAACGGAGGUGGGAACCUUUCGGGGUGCACCAUCGACCGAUCCUGAAGUCUUCGGAUGGAUUUGAGUAAGAGCAUAGCUGUUGGGACCCGAAAGAUGGUGAACUAUGCCUGAAUAGGGUGAAGCCAGGGGAAACCCUGGUGGAGGCUCGCAGCGGUUCUGACGUGCAAAUCGAUCGUCAAAUUUGGGCA